UGUGUCCGCCUCUCUCUCCCUAACUCUCUCGGUGGCGACAAAGACUCAAGCUCUCCCCCGACGAGUGCUCAUCUUCUCCGGCGUAAGUAGUGCCCUUCAACUCUUCUUCUUCGGUUUCCUCUCACGGUGUGUGCUCCGGCUUCAUCUUUGUGGAUAGCGGUUGAACAAGAAAAUGCAGCUUAUUACUCGCAGCAGUUUAAGGCAAUGGAAGCAGGUUUUGUUUCUAGGGAUGAGGAAUCAUCACUGGUCGCUGCAGAGAAUGGUGUGAUGUGAGCGGUAGAAGAGACACUCCGUCUUCUUCUUUGAGCAAUUCGAUCGAGUCUUUGAGGACCAUCUUGUCUGAUCCUAUAACAGGGGCUUUGAUGUCUGAUGCUAUGAUUUUGCCUUGCGGACACACUUUUGGAACUGGAGAAAUAGAACAAGUUAAACAAAUGAUCCAGAGUUUUAUGUCUUUCAUCACAGUCUCUUCUUUUACUCUUUGCUAUUCUAUUAUCUUUUCUUGUGCUUAUGGAAUCUGUUUUUUUCGCUGUGUUCGCUUAGAAAGCUUGCUGCACUUGUAGGAUGGGAAGCUGUUGGGACUACUCAAUGUUUGAACGGCUGGUGAAGUCUAUGAUUCCUGGAUUAUGACUUUAUGGUAUGUUUUGGUGAAAACACUAGACAAUGCAGAGAGCGUUAAGCUUCGGUAUCGUUCACUGGCCAAAGCCACAGAAGAUCCAUCAGCCAAGGCAACACCAAGCAAGAUGAUCUCCAGCUGGCUCUAAGCAGACCUUCCUUGUGAAGAGACUACUUUCUGAUAGUACGUUCUCUAUGUAAGGAACAGAAACCUAUCUACAGAUCAUAGAUCACAGUUACAUAUUGUAAAUUAUUGUAGUAGUUGCUCCAUGGCAUAUCUUUGAAGAAAUUAGGUUUUGGGCAAAAGCCAGGCUACUAAUAGCUUGAACAAUCCGAAUCAUAUGAUGAAAUACAUAGUUACUCUGCUCUCAGUUUUGUUU